CAUUCCAGCGGUGCGUUUACACGUCCUGAUACAUCUGUAAAUGCAUCAUCUGGAAUGAA
rnacentral:pre_miRNA from 1 species